rnacentral:lncRNA from 1 species
GACUGUUAAAAAGUAUAAAUUAUGCCUUACCAAAAAUAGUAAGACAGUUGAUGGAAUUACUUCUCAUUAUUUCUUUUGUCCAUACUUCUUAUUUCCUGCCAGUACUACAAAUUAUGAGAGAAUGAGCCAGGUCGUCAUUUCAGUCAGUUUUUUUAUCUUUCUUUUUUUAUCCUUCUUUUCUCUGUAGUCUAUUGGUGUAUAAUUGCAUGCAAAAAAAUAAUAAUGCAUCCAUUAUGAACUAAAAGAAAGAAAAACAAGAAAGAAAGUUGAUAAAGGCUCUUUAACAGAUCAGAAGUAAAUAUGAAAGUAGCAUAGAACAGUAAGAAAGUUUCUAUUUAUCACUAGCACAUGAAAGUACAACACUUGGUGAAUUGCAAAGGGUUAACAGAUAGUUUUAAAGUUUCACAGCUGAAGGUAAAGUCCAUUGACCAAGCCUCCCAUCUGCCAGGAGUGUGUUAGAAUUUCAGGCCACUCUCAGACUUGCUGAGUCAGAAUGCAUGCAAAAUUUGGGCUGGGGAUGCAGCUCAGUAGUAAAGCCCUUGCCUACCACGUGUGAGACCCUGGGUGCAAUCUGCAGCACCACAAUGAAACAAAAGACUAGAAUAUGCAUUUUAACAAAUUCCCAUCUGAUUUAUAUUUGCAGUAUAGUUUAAGAAAUACUCUUUCAAGAUAUAUGUGG